CAUUGCAGUACACGAGAUCCAAGGGGCGGAGUCGGAUCCAGAUUAAGGGGUGGGGUUGGGUAGGUUUAGGGGUGGGUUUAGGGAUCAGGGGGUGGAGCUGGGUAGGUUUAGGUAUAUGUAAGGUGGGAGGAGUUGGAUCUGGAUCCGACUCCUCCCCGUGGAUUUCAUGUUCUGCAGUGAGGACCAUCUC